GUGCUUGCUGAGCUGUGUUUGGGACCCGGUUAGGGAGGCGGCUGGGGAAGCGCCGAGAAAGCGGAAGAGAAGGGCGGAAAGUGAAAGGAGCCGAAGAAUUGGAAAGGGAAAGAAAGAAAGGGGGUUGAGAGAAGUGUGUCGUCCUGACUGUUCCGGCAGGAAUUGGUUACAGGCGGCUGAUGUAGUGAGCCACGCGUGUCCCAGCCACAUCUGAGUAAUGAGUGGUUGCAGGGAGAGGAGGGAGGUGAGAGACUUGCAAUCCCCGCAUCCGAGGCUUUUCUCUUUCUUUUCUACCAGGUUGUUCACUGCAAUGGGUAAAAGUCCCAACCCGCGGAGGAGUAAACCAGUUGUGAGAUAGACACAGAGCCUGGAAGAGAAACCCAGGGUUAAGACGCGAGAUACCUGCAGAGGCAAAACUUGGCCACACGGGAAAUUGGAAAUCAAGAUUGUUCAGAAGUUUGUAAUGUGGUUUUCAUGUUUGAUAUUCGUUGUCUUAUUAAUAUGUGUAAAUAUUUAACUUGCAAGUGCAUAACCCACUGGUUCUGUGGUGUGGUGUGGAUACAGACCGUAUAAAACUUUUGACCAUUUCAAAAACCAGAUUUAUCAAACCUUAACAACUGUUCUGAAGGCUGUAGAGCUCUCGGCAUAUGAAGACUCCCUCAGAAUCUCUGCACUGAGACUUGUACAAACUCUCGCUGACGAAAAUUCAAUUAACUGUCAAGAAGAAAAAAGGGAAUUUUAUUUGAGCCAAGCUGGUGGUGAUAACACAGGAAGCAGUCUCAGAAAGCUCGGAGGACCAUUCUGCCUGUUAGAAGUCGAAGGCACAAUCAUAUACAUUUUUGAAACAAAGGAUCAUACAUCAAAAUGACCGACUAAUAUUUUACAUAAACUUCACCAAAGAUACAUAGUCCAGAGAAGAGAAAAGCAGUCACCAGAGAAAUCGUCCUGAUUACUGGAGCUGGACACGGAAUUGGGAGACAGACUGCCUAUGAAUUUGCCAAACUUAAAUGCAAACUGGUCCUGUGGGAUACAAAUAAGGCAUGUGGGAUCUUAAUUCCCCAACCAGGGAUCAAACCCAUGCCCCCUGAAUUUGGAAUGUGGAGUCUUAACCACUGGACCGCCAGGGAAGUCCCUGAUCUCUAUCUUAAUCAUAUGGAAAAAGUCAUAGUUUUAGCUAGUAUAUUAAAAGAGUAAGAGGUUUGCACCUAUUAAGAGAAAAAUCUUACAGUUACUGAGGCAGGUAGGGUGUCAUGGAGAAAUGGUUGGAAAGAACGAGACUGAAAGCUCACGUCUGACAGCAGGGAUGUGUCCGGAGACUAGUGGAGACCCGCCAGAAGGAUGCAGAGGCAGGGCAAAGGCCUCGACAGGCCCAACACAGAACACUCUGGACCGCAGCAAAGAAGAUAAGGGGUUAUACACAUCGGAGAAAAAAGAAUCCAUGAGCCCAAGAGGUACCUUUGAAAAGGCCAGAGGGGGAGUCAGGGAGGGAACGGUCUUCUUUAGAGAGGAUGCCAGCAGUGAAGUGUAGGCAUGCAGAAUUAGAGAACCACCAUCUGCUACCCACAAUGCCACCACUGAGCCAGAAAGAAUCCUCACUGGUGGUCAAAGUCUUUGUUAGGGAGCUGGGUAUCAGAGACAGACCACUUGGCCUGUGAUGAUGAAGGAGAAAGGGACCUUUCUCAUGGAGACAUGCCCAGACACCACUUGAACCAAGUGCCCAAACUGACAUUGUGCGUCCCCUAAUGGGAUGCAGUGGGAGGAACUCUACAUCGCCCCAGUGAUGUCCUGGACAAAAAUGUUCAAUCAGAAUUGAAUCACGAGGAAACAAUGAGGCAAAUCUAGAAUGGGGAACACUGCAGGAGACACCUGGCCUGAAGUUUUCCUAAAAGUCAGUGUGUUGAAAGACAAAGAGGGAGUGGGACAGGAGCAGUGUUCUAGACUGAAGAUAAUAUGGGAGGUGAGGAGUGUUUUCCUUGCCUUGAUGAUGCUGGUGCUUUCAUGCAUUAUAUUCAUGUCAGCCCCCAUGAAACUGUGCACCUUAGUUUGUACUUUAUUGCUUGUCAAUCAUACCUUGAUAAAUGUAUGUUUUAAAAGAGUCAGGGAAACUUUUCUAGAUUAAAAUAGCUGAAACAAAAUGACAAUGUAUGAACAUUA